GAAACGCGAUAGUUAAUGUGAAUUGCAGAAUUCAGUGAAUCAUCGAGUCUUUGAACGCACAUUGCGCCCAUAGGUAUUCCUUUGGGCAUGUCUGUUUGAGCGUCAUUACAACCCUCAGCUAACCGCUGGUUUUGAACCUGAACGGGUGACACCGCGCCGGUUUUAAAGUUGUAAGCUCUGCUGGCCGCUCUGCCCAACCAGAACAUAGUAAGCACUACUUGUCAGGGUGAAGCUGAACGGUACGGCCUGAACAAAACCUACCCACUCUCAAGGUUUGACCUCAGAUCAGACAAGGAUACCCGCUGAACUUAAGC
rnacentral:misc_RNA from 1 species